rnacentral:tRNA from 1 species
GGGCCUGUAGAUCAGUGGAAGAUCAUUUUUUUGCGUAAAGCAAAAUAAUCUUAUGCUUGACUCGCAUUCAAGAGGUCACGGGUUCAAUUCCCGUCAGGUCCA